rnacentral:misc_RNA from 1 species
CGUGGGUUUUCCCGUCGGUGGACUUGGACUUGGGUGUCUGCCGACUGGCUCGCCUCAAAUACGUUAGCGAGACAAGCUGCCUUAUGGCCUUGACGUGAUAAGUUUCGUCGGGCCUGGCUCCUUAUGCCCGCUCAUCACCCGCCCUCGGGCAACACUUUAUGCUGGACCUCAAAUCAGGUAGGACUACCCGCUGAACUUAA